UAGGGAAUCUUCGGCAAUGGGGGGAACCCUGACCGAGCAACGCCGCGUGAGUGAAGAAGGUUUUCGGAUCGUAAAGCUCUGUUGUUAAGGAAGAACGAGUGUGAGAAUGGAAAGUUCAUACUGUGACGGUACUUAACCAGAAAGGGACGGCUAACUACGUGCCAGCAGCCGCGGUAAUACGUAGGUCCCGAGCGUUGUCCGGAUUUAUUGGGCGUAAAGCGAGCGCAGGCGGUUAGAUAAGUCUGAAGUUAAAGGCAGUGGCUCAACCAUUGUAGGCUUUGGAAACUGUUUAACUUGAGUGCAGAAGGGGAGAGUGGAAUUCCAUGUGUAGCGGUGAAAUGCGUCGAUAUAUGGAGGAACACCGGUGGCGAAAGCGGCUCUCUGGUCUGUAACUGACGCUGAGGCUCGAAAGCGUGGGGAGCGAACAGG
rnacentral:rRNA from 1 species